AAAUUGAGACCGUUGGUCAAAAGACAACUGGAAGCGGGAAGCGCGCGGAUGGUUGGAGAGACGCGACCAAUAAGAGAUGACUUGCAUCGGAUUGACGUGAAAGUACCUGGCUUAUCCUGCCCCUGUCCAGUUAAGUGGUGGAGAGUUUGGGAGCUGUGAACUCGGAUAGAAAAAUGUAUCAACCGCCACGAACAGGUUGGUGUAUUGGGGCGGAUUGUUCUGUCCUCUGUAUUUCAGACCAAAGCAAGACAAUGUUUAAAGCUCGCUAUGGAUCUACUAACAGGUU